rnacentral:lncRNA from 10 species
UGGGAUUACAGGCGUGAGCCAUCACACCUGGCAAUUAGUUAUUUUUUUUUUCUUUUUUGAGACAGAGUCUCACUCUGUCACCCAGGCUGGAGUGCAGUGAUGCAAUCUCCACUCACUGCAACCUCUGCUUCCUGGGCUCAAGUGAUUCUCCUGCCUUAGCCUAUUGAGUAACUGGGAUUAGAGGCACGUGCCACCAGGCCUGGCUAAUUUUUAUAUUUUUAGUAGAGAAGGGAUUUUGCCAUGUUGGCCAGGCUGGUCUCAAACUCCUGACCCCAAGUGAUCUGGCCCGGCUCAGCCUCCCAAAGUGUUGGGAUUACAGGCGUGAGCCACUGUGCCUGACUGACAGGUUAUUUCAAAUCUGUGAGGGCUUUGCUUUUUUAAAAAAGGAAAAAAUGAGAGGAAGACUGGGCCUGGUGGCUCAUGCCUAUAGUCCCAGCACUUUGGGAGGCUGAGGCGGGUGGAUCACCUGAGAUCAGGAGUUCGAGACUACCCUGGCCAAAAUGGUGAAACCCCGUCUCUAUUAAAAAUACAAAAAAUUAGCCAGGCGUAGUGUAGUCCCAGCUACUGGGGAUGUUGAGGCAGGGGAAUUGCUUGAACCCAGGAGGCGGAGGUUGCAGUGAGCCGAGAUUGUACCAUUGCACUCUAGCCUGGGCGACAAGAACAAGGCAUUUAAUACGUUAUAACAGUAAAAUUUUAGAGCUAGGGGAAAUCAUAAGAGAUUGUCUUCACACAUGCCUCUGUUUUACAAAUGCAGAAACUAAACAGUAGAUAGGCUAGCUGACUUGGCCAAGGCCCCGGGUUAGUCGCAGACCUGGGAUGGGGCCAGGUUUAGCACAGUGUUUUGCCCUUCCUCCCACACUGAUAGUGCCUUGUAUGGAGGUAGAACAGAAAGCCCUGCUCUUUAGGGAAAGUUUCACUAACUUUUCAAAACAUGAGUAUGUGAUAAUUAUAAUUAAGGACUAUCACAAAUGAAGUGUAAAUUUAUAAAUGUAACCAUCUAAUAAAGCUUCGGUUAAAAUUAAUAUUGGGGCAAGUUUAUUUUUGAAUUUUUUAAAGAUAGAAAGAAACAACAACAAACCCUUGAGUUUCCAGAAGAACUGCCUGUAUUCAUUCAUUUAACAUACUAAAAGCAGCUUGUGACUGCCAUAAAGUAUGUCAUUGCCGCCUUCAGUACUAAAAAAGUGGUCCAGUAUAUGAGGCAACUGCUCUAAAUCAUGCUUGUUUGGACAGGCUGUUUCUUAGUUCCACCUCAUCUGCACUUUAGCCCCACUCUGUGCUGUGUAGACCCAAGCGAUUUGCACAAACACCACAUGAUCCCAAAGGUACUUUCCCAGGGAGAAGGAAAAAAAACAUAAAAGUUAAACUAACCCUUGUAAGUUCUAGUUACCACUUAAUCUUUCUAUGGUUUGACUACCUUUCUUUUUUUUUUUUUUUUUUUAGUUUUUUAAACACUUCAAGUCAUAACUCCUCAGUAUUUAAUAUUUAGAUUUUUUUCCCCUUAUUCUAUUCCCCCAGAGUUAAUCUCUUCUCCCCACUUUCGUUCAAUAUCUAUUAUGUGCCAGGCACCAUCUUCAGUGUCAGGAAUACAGAAAUAAGCAAAACAUGUUCUCUUCCUUCAAGAAGCGAAUUUUUUUUUUUUUUUUUUUUUCAAGUGAUUCUCCUGCCUCAGCCUCCUGAGUAGCUGGGACAACAGGCGCAUGUCACCAUACCUGGCUAAUUUUUGUAUUUUCAGUGGAGACAGGAUUUCACUAUGUUGGCCAGGGCUGGUCUUAAACUCUUGACCUCAGGUGAUCAUCCUGCCUCUGCCUCUCAAAGUGCUGGAAUUACAGGCAUGAGCCACCGCUCCCGGUCAAGAUGCGAAUUAUUUAGAGGAGCAGCUAGACAGAUAAGCUAAUGAUGGCAAUAAAAUGUGCUUGGUAGAAUAAGGAGAUCAAUGGUGCUAUGCUCAUGGCACCUAUUACUCUAGGAGUAACAAUCAGGGCACUUAACACAAGUGCCUGGUUCUACAUUCCCACCUCUUCCUGCAACACGCUAUAUCUAUAAGAUGAUAAGAUGAGCCCAAUGGAAGCCCUACAAAUCCUGAUCCCUACUCUAGGUCAAGCUUAUACAAGUAAAUAGAUUUCUUUUUUUUUUUUUUUUUUUUUUUUGAGAUGGAGUUUCACUCUUGUAGCCCAGGCUGAAGUGCAGUGGUGCAAUCUCAGCUCACUGAAACCUCCGCCCCCAAAUCUAACGUAUUAAAAUUUUUUCUGAAACAGAGCUUAUUAUUUUAUGGUUUUGAAUUGUCCCUCAGAAUCAAAAUUGGAAAAUAUUUUUACUGUGUAAUUUUUGCCAGCUAGUUUUUGUAUUUUUAUUAGAGGCAGGGUUUUGCCAUGUUGACCAGGCUGGUCUGGAACUCCUGGCCUUAAGUGAUCUACCUGCCUCGGCCUCCCAAAGUGCUGGGAUUACAGGCAUGAGCCAUGGAGCCAGCCUCAUGCUCUCAUUCUUUGCGUGGUGGCUUAGUCCUCAAGCCUUAUCCUUCAUUGCUGCAAAGUGGCUGGGGCAUAUCUUGACAUCACAUGAAGACCUAGAAUCAUUAUCUUCCAUGCCCCACUUUUUAUUUAAUGGGGAAUAUUUUUCCUGAAGUCCCCACAGAAUUAGCUCCGUUGGCCACAGUUGCCUCUCAUACCCAGGCAUAAGUCAUUCAUUGUGCAAAGGGUAUGAGACUACCAUGAUUAGCUUAGAUCAAUUAAGAUAGGCUUUUAUGAGACUGCAGAGGGGUCUAUCUUCCCUCAGAUAACAUGUUGAAGGAUAAACAUAUCUGAGAUUUUGUUAGUAUGGAAAAAGCAGUGUAAGGCAAAUAGUUUCAGGGAAAUUAUACUCAAACUAAAAAUUCAGUGUAAAAUAAAUACAACAACUUUACUACCCACAAGUUUUGGUAUGAUGCUUAGAAUCUGAUCUAAAAUCCACUCACUCUAUUCUUUCAGCAAACAUUCUUUGAUCACUUAUUACACGUUGGGCACUGUUCUCCGUACUAAAGCAGAGAACAAGACAGAUACGUAUUUGUAUUGGGAAUGCUUUCAGCAGCAACUGACAGAAUAGGAAAUUAAAAGUGGCCAAACCAUAGGGACAUUCAGUGUUUGCCCAGAGAAAUUUAGAGGGAGGCAAUCCCUAGUCCAUCUCCUCUGAAAUAUAACCAAGAGUCCAGGUUCUUUCUUCUCUGGGUCCUUAACGUGCUGACUUUUGUCUUUAUUCUUUUCACUUCAUUGUUCCAUAGCUGUCAUAGUUCUAAAUACCUCAUCUACUUUCAAACGAGAAAGAAAUGGUAAAGGACACUUUUUUCUUAUUAUUGUCCCUUUUGCAAAGAUUUAAAAACCUCCAGAAGCCUCCUAUGCAGAUUGCCAUGAAAUCUCAUUGGCAGGAUUGUGUGCCACACUGGUCUUCUCAAAAGCAAAGGAGUCUAGGAAGGUAAUUAUCCAACAAAGUGUUAUGGAGCCACACACACUGCUGCCCCAGAUAAAAUGGGGAUUUUUUUUUUUAUAAGGGGAGCCAUGGAUAAUGGUUACCCAAUUACAAUGUUUGCCGUAGUCCCCUUUUCCUGGAAUUAAUUCUCUGGCCACUUCUUGGAAAAGUAAUAAUAAAUUAGGAGUACUUUUCAUACUCUAGUUUUAAAAUUAUGUGUGAGGAAUUUGUAGUGGUUCUUAAUGUUGUUUUUGCACAUUCAACUAGAAAAGCAAUUGGCCAGGUGUGGUAGCUCACACCUGUAAUCCCAGCACUUUGAGAGGCCAAGGCAGGUGGAUCAUCUGAGGUCAGGAAUUGGAGACCAGCCUGACCAAGAUGGUGAAACCCC